ensembl:lncRNA
UCUAGGUGUAGUGGUUUUUAAUCAGGAUCAGUUCUAAUGCGGUCUGGACCCCUAAAAAGCAGUAAAAUGUGCCUUUAUUGCAUUUUCACAAAUAGGGUAAAGGUUUCACAAAUCUGAAACUAUGUUUUACAUAAUGUAUAGCCUCACUGUGAUAAUUUAGUCUAGAUUUGAAGAGUCUAGGUGUAGUGGUUUUCAAUCAGGACCCGUUCUAAUGCAGUCUGGACCCCUAAAAAGCAUUAAAAUGAGCCUGUAUUGCAUUUUCACAAAUAGAAAAAAGGUUUCACAAAUCUGUAACUAUGUUUAUUAUAAUGUACAGCCUCACUGUGAUAAUCUAGUCCAGAUUUGAAGAGUCUAGGUGUAGUGGUUUUCAAUCAGGACCGAUUUAAAGUGCACCAGCCGCUGAAUCGGAUGCUGCGAAUCGGAUGCCAACUUCAGCGUCGUUGUGUGAACACCGGUUGUGUGUUGUCCCAUGUUGCAGCUAAUAAACCAGUCCAGUGCUCAACCCAACCUGUCUCCGUGGGUUCAAUUAAGAAGCAGAAGAGCUGCAGUGUACCCAAGGUCACAUCUGCUCUAUAAGGUGUCCGGCCGCCAUCCCCUAUUCACGUGCUUUUGUGUAUUGGAGAACCUGCUCAGCAAGCUGCAGUCUGCAACUUCUGCGGGAGGUAUGUUUAAUUCAAAUCCAGUACUGUUGCAUUUCAGCAAAAGCACAAGGGUGAAAGUCUUUGGUCCCCUUCAACUCCUGAGCAACAACAGCAGCAGUGGCAUCUUCCCCUUCUUUCCCCUAAGGCUGUAGCUGCUCCAAACAAAGUUUGAGGCCACAGAGCGCAACACCCUCCUCACACACUCCCCAGGAUUGGACCCCCCAACUAGGCUCAGAUGGGAAAUCUAAGGAAAUCAAACAACCAUGGUUAAGGACUUUGUCUCCGCCCUCUUGUUCCUCCUGACGGCCUGAUCCCAAUCAUCUAAACAGUCAGCAUUCGCGGCGAUUCAAAAUAAAAGAAGAAUUGGACCUCUGCCUACCAUGCUCCAUUGGCUGUCCAGCGCAUUCCUCAAGCCUUUUCACCACUUGUGACAGGGGGCAUCUUCCACUCCUUACCAUCCUCUUUAUUUUCUUGAGACAAUUUACAAAUUUAAAAGCGCUACAAUUGUCCAAUCCUCCAAAGGUCACGGCAUCCUCCACAAUGUGCAACAUUGAGUGCACGUUGUAGACCAGAAACUGGUUACCAUAAAGUUCUCAGCCUCUCUCAACAAAGAAUCGGAGGAGAUCAGCAGCAUAUCUCCAGUGUUGCUCGACCAAUGCUGGACUUACAACUCUUUAAGAUCUCUCGGUUUAAGAGCGAAGCUGGAAGGGAUGUGUGGACGGAGGUUGGUGAGCCUGCUGCUGACCUCCUCUAUUUGGGUUGCCGACAUCUUCAGGCCCUUCACUCCUCUGCACCACAUGAAGAGAAGCCUCUUCAUUACACCCAAGCAUGCCUGGUGCAUGUAAUCGAUGGGAAAUGCACUGAUCAUGUUUAUGGGAAUUCCAGAUUCUGUGGCUUCGAACCUCCACAAGUCAGGGUGAUAGGGAAGACUGACACUGGUUUUAAAUGGACAGCACAAAGGAUGGGCCACAUUGUUCUUCCUGAGCUCUUAAACAGAGGAAAAUGGACAUACUCCAUACCAGACUUUGAUGUGAUCCUGACCUCCCUUGGUGUCUUCAGGAGUGUCCUGGUGGUGGAAGGCAGGUCAGUGUGUCCGUGACCUCUCAAAACUUUCAAAAGGUCCUCAACAGCAUUGUGUUUCACCUGAAACUGGCAAGCCCAGCUAGCGAGGUCAGAUGCGAGCGAUGCCGGACGCUGGUCGGACGCCUCCAGGUCAUCCCCAAAAACCACUUCCUCCUCAUCAUCAGAGGGAUCAACAUCCAUCCAGUCAUCGAGGUCAUCCUCCAAAGCAGAACGAUCCUCAAAUGACUCAUCCAAGUCCAAGGAGUUGUCCAUGUCACCAAUAGGCGCAAGAACACCGGAUGGACUGCUGGACAAGCUGGCAUCAGCCACAUGGUGUUCUGUGACACAAACACUGGCAGUGCUUUCAGCUAUCCUAUUCAUCACUUGUUUAGCAGAUCUCCAUGAACGGAGGUACUGCCUUGCCCGU